rnacentral:misc_RNA from 1 species
AAGACUAUAGACCUGCGGAGUACCUGCGGAGGGAUCAUUAAAAAAAAGAAUCGUAAGAUUCUUAUUUUUUUAAAGCUUUACUACUACUUUUUGUAGGAGUAGAGCUUUUUCCACACUCUGUAAUAUUAAAAAUCGUCUUUUGACGAUAUCAGAUAAUAAUAAUAAACAAAACUUUCAACAAUGGAUCUCU